rnacentral:rRNA from 1 species
UUGGAGGGCAAGUCUGGUGCCAGCAGCCGCGGUAAUUCCAGCUCCAAUAGCGUAUAUUAAAGUUGUUGCAGUUAAAAAGCUCGUAGUUGAAUUUCGGGAUGAUCAGGUUGGUCGUGCCAUUGGUAUGUACUAGCUUUGGUGGUUCCUACCUCUUGAAGAACCGUAAUGUCAUUAACUUGGUGUUGCGGGGAAUCAGGACUGUUACUUUGAAAAAAUUAGAGUGUUUAA